rnacentral:rRNA from 1 species
GCGAGUGAAGCGGCAAAAGCUCAAAUUUGAAAUCUGGUACUUUCAGUAUCCGAGUUGUAAUUUGAAGAAGGUAUCUUUGGACCUGGCUCUUGUCUAUGUUCCUUGGAACAGGACGUCACAGAGGGUGAGAAUCCCGUGCGAUGAGAUGCUCCAGGUCUAUGUAAAGUUCCUUCGAAGAGUCGAGUUGUUUGGGAAUGCAGCUCUAAGUGGGUGGUAAAUUCCAUCUAAAGCUAAAUAUUGGCGAGAGACCGAUAGCGAACAAGUACAGUGAUGGAAAGAUGAAAAGAACUUUGAAAAGAGAGUGAAAAAGUACGUGAAAUUGUUGAAAGGGAAGGGCUUGAGAUCAGACUUGAUAUUUUGUAUGUUGUUCUUUCGGGGGCAGCCUCUACAGUUUAUCGGGCCAGCAUCGGUUUGAACGGUAGGAUAAUGGUAAAGAAAUGUGGCAUCACUUGUGAUGUGUUAUAGUCUUUAUUGAUACUGCCAGUUUAGACCGAGGACUGCGAUUUUUAAUCUAGGAUGUUGGCAUAAUGAUCUUAAGUCGCCC